UUUUAGGAAAGGAAUUCUGGCACAUGCUUCAACAUUAGAUGACCUUGAGAACAUUAUGCUAAUAGAAAUAAAGUCUACUUAAUGAAGCAUCUAGAGUGGUCAAAUUCAUAGAAACAUAAAGUAGAAUGCCAUAAGUUCUUCAGUAAGUCUGCAGUACUCCAGAUGGUCUUCUUUUGCUUGUUUUGCAUUAAACUUAUUUUUGGCCUAUUGAGGAAAGAAAGUACAAUUCCAUAUUGAGCCCUAGAAAGUGACCAGAUGUGGGUAAAUACUUAAGAAGUGUCUUUUCAUGAAAAACUGCUGCUAAAUCUGGUAAGAACGGCAACUUUAUGGCAUUCUUGUUUGGAGAGCAUUGCUAUCUAUCCAGCUCAAGUAAUGAAAACUUGCAGAUUCCAUUUGAGUUGAGUGGCAAUGCUGCUAAAAAUUUAAGGGGGAGAUUCUGGAGGCAAGACAGUUAUAGAAGAAUUAAAAUAAUAAACUCUAUAGACAUCCCUGAUUAAUUGAUAAACUAUACAUUCACACAGGAGAUCCAGUACGCCUAGCAAAAAUUAAAAACCUGGAGGAGAUUGUGAAUGUUCUGUUCUUUGGAAGAACAUCCUCAACCCACACACAGCUUAUGCAGCCAUGGUAAAAGCGUUGCUGGUUUAACUUGUCUGAAGAUAAACUCUACCCAUGUUAUUGGUUGACUGUCAUGCCAGUACGGAGAGGAACUUCAGAGAGCCAGACUUAAAAACAAACAAACAUUAGCAGAGACUUCAAAGGCUGCCUAUUGUGAAGAGAGAUUUCAUAGCUUGCAUCCAGGGAAAGUAACUGCCUACUAAAACAAAGAGCAACCACCCUCAGAACAAAACAGAGUCUACAACAUACUCUAUACAAUGUCAGGUUUUCAUUGAAAAAUUACUAGACUUGCAAAGAAAUAGGAAAGUGUUACAUUGUUGUAAGGAAAAAAACAGAAUUGUUCUAAGCAUAUUGAAUUUAACAAUUAGAUUUCAAAGCAGCUAUUAUAAACAUAUCAAAAUAAUUAAAGGAAAUAUAGGGAAUCUAAAUA